AGUUCUUUCCCAAAGUGCCAGUGGGUUUGGUGGUUUCCGCACUGCUCUUAGGACUUGCCAUAUUGGUGCUGAGUGUUCUUGUCGGCUUCAGUGUAAAACAGCGCCGAGAGAUCAAAGAUCUUGAGAAGAGAGUGGGGUUGAAAAGGAAGAACACAUAUGCAGGUAAGAUUCUGAGUGACCAAGAAACCAUCCCACACA